rnacentral:rRNA from 1 species
CAAUAGCGUAUAUUAAAGUUGUUGCGGUAAAAAAGCUCGUAGUUGGAUUUCUACCGAAGAUAGCCGGUCGGGUCUUCGACCUUGUAUCUGGUUUUGUCUUUGGUAUCCUCAUAGGGAACGUUUCGGCGCUUUAUUGCGUGGUGCGGUAUCUAUGACUUUUACUUUGAGGAAAUUAGAGUGUUCACGGCAGGCAAACGCCUUGAAUAUAUUAGCAUGGAAUAAUAACAUAGGAUCUUCGUCCUAUUUUGUUGGUUUCUAGGGCUAAGAUAAUGAUUAAUAGGGAUAAUUGGGGGCAUCUGUAUCAACGCGUCAGAGGUGGAAUUCUUGGAUUGCGUUGCGACAAACUACUGCGAAAGCAUUUGCCAAGGAUGUUUUCAUUGA